rfam:Halobacteroidaceae bacterium T328-2 scaffold_21, whole genome shotgun sequence.
GGAGAAGUACCCAAGUCAGGUUGAAGGGGACGGUUUGCUAAAUCGUUAGGUCGCUCUAAGCGGCGCGAGGGUUCAAAUCCCUCCUUCUCCG